CUCCCAGGAUGUUUAUUCUAACAAGCAGCCUGAUGCCCACUGGGGACAGAAAGCACUGCUGUCUGCUCAGAUUUGGCUGCAGCCCAGGCUGUUUUAGGAAGGAGCAUCAGGAGAAGGCUCACAAGAGCCAGCCAGGCAGGAUGGCCACUCACUGAGAUGAAGGCUCAAGUCGUGCCCCCAGGGAUUACGAGAGAUGGAGACUGAGAUUGACUUGUUUUUCUCUUCUGGAGCAAGUGUUUGGGGAUUUUGCUUUUCAGAGGAACUUCUGCUAUGUGGAGAAAGGUUAGAAAGGAAACCAGCUUUCAGGCAUAGACUUGAACUUGGACAGCCCAGGAUGAAAAACGCAACAUGACCAGGCUCUUGCCACUGUAAAUGCAGUCCUGCUGUAUAACAGUGGCUUUGUGCCUGAAGAAGAGCUGAUCCUGCUGUCAUUUCAGAGUGGGAAGGGUCACCCAGAAUACUGGGAACAAAACACUGUCUGGUGCCUGCUGUGUUCAUAUCACCACUAAUCUCGCUUUGUUCUGUACAAGCUCGUGACCGUUUAAUCAUCUGUGCCAGGAACCCUCCACAGGCCAGAAGCUGAGGCCAUUUUUAACAGCACAGAUCACACUGCAGCAAGAAGUCAUGACAAUACCUGCUUCUUUAGGUGUCUGCUAACACAGCACCUAUAAUAUGCUACAGGUGAUUGAAAAGGUGAGGGAUAUAACACCAGAGGAGCUCCCCUGAAUCACUACACAGCUCUCCACCAGCCUUCCAAGACCGCAAUUCUCAGUUCUCCUUUGCUUUUCUGAAGCUGAGAGUAAGGUGUUCCAAACUCACUUUGUUCCCACACUCCUAGCUGAUUCAAGAGAUAGAGGUAAGUCAAUAUAAUGCUGUAGAGGCAAGCAGAGACAUGAAACUGUACUUCCUACUGCAUUACAAGGAAUAUAGAUUUCAAAGGUUAUAUAAAUGACUUAUCUUCAGCCUUGCUCGUGUAACAGAAAUAGAUACAUAGGAAAAACACAACCAUUCGUUCCACCAAAACAAGCUACUAAGACAUAAAAUGAAAUCUUUUCUGUCUAUCAUACAGAAUAUCUCUGUAUGCUACAUUUUCCAUUCUUCUUCCUGAUCCUUUCCCUUGAACUUUGGCACUUACUUCAUCACUGACGUCUUUUUUCAGGAACAUGAACAGCCUUUAGCAUGGAAGGUAUCUGAAUGUGGAAUCCUACAUACAGUAAGUUUCACCUUAAAAAGAAAAGGUAGGAGAUGCUGCUUUAUAGAUUGUUACUAAUGAUAAAUAUUUGUGCUGCCAUCUGACUUGUGUUAUAACUAAGUAAAAAAUAUUCUGGUUAGAGAGAUUAAUAGUUUUUUUUUUUCUUGUUGAAACUGGCUUACUUUUCUUUAGGUGGCAACAACAUCUGUAGACCUCAAGUUUCUCAGCAAAACUAAAUAUGAAGAUACUCCUGUAUGGUUCAAAGAACUUCAGUAUUGAAAUACUGAAAAUCUGAAAUCUCAGAGAAACACAGAUAUCUACAUGUAACAGAUUACUGCAGUGUUAAGGUAUCACUUAGAAAUCUUACAAACAACAACAAAAAAAAGUGGUUAAGCACCAGACAGUGAGUUUGUAUAGUGCUUGAUAAGAAACUGGAGGUGGGAAUCUAGGUGAUUCGUUUGCCACAGUUUUCAAUUCACAAGCCUUAGCCAAAAAAUACCAGGUAACUUUAAUUAAAAUUUUGGGUUAUGCAGACUGUUUCAGAUCAAGACCUCAAACACAGUGAUGCAGAUCUUGCCAUUCCCCCAGGUAGCACAGGACUAAGAAGUGCUACCCUGAGUGAUACUGAGGGACUGUUUGGUACAGUUUAUUCAUAUCACAGUCAAAACAGGAUGAACUGGUUUGAAUAAAGCCGUUUGAGAGGCAAGAAGCAUCUUGUUUUCUCAUUUGGUGCAAUUCAUUUAACUGUCACUUUGAAGUUAGCCAAGUGUACCUCCUUUUGUGUGGACCUGCUGAUGAACAAGGAAGCCUCCUCCAUGUUCUGUGGGUGCAGACCAUUCACAGCCACUAUGCAGUCUCCAUGGUUAAAUAAGCAUCCCAGUCGGCAAGGACCAGUCCACUGUGAGACACUAACAUAUAUGGAGGACAGACAACAAAUGAGUCAUAAGGGAUUUAUAAUUACCAGUUACUAUUAACAGAAAACAGGGUUGCAUUUAUGGCUCCGCCCUCUGGAAAUGACACAUGGACUGCAUGACUUUACAUCUUCUUGAUCUUGGUAGUGAGACCGAUGCUAGCAGCAUCACCAGAGAGAGCUGGGGAUUCCAGCCUGAAAAUGGGGCCAGACUUGGUGCAGGUCUGUGUAUGUGCUGCAUACUUGGCCAAAAAAAAUUUUCCAAGGCAUUUCUAGAGACUGAAAUUAAAACUUGCUGUUAUGUUUUAUUUAUGGU